AUGCUCGCUUUGGCAGCACAUAUACUAAAAUUGGAAUGAUACAGAGAAGAUUAGCAUGGCCCCUGCACAAGGAUGAUAUGCAAAUUUGUGAUGUAGACCAUAUGAUU
ensembl:snRNA U6 U6 spliceosomal RNA